GAUGAACGCUGGCGGCGUGCCUAAUACAUGCAAGUCGAGCGAACGGACGAGAAGCUUGCUUCUCUGAUGUUAGCGGCGGACGGGUGAGUAACACGUGGAUAACCUACCUAUAAGACUGGGAUAACUUCGGGAAACCGGAGCUAAUACCGGAUAAUAUUUUGAACCGCAUGGUUCAAAAGUGAAAGACGGUCUUGCUGUCACUUAUAGAUGGAUCCGCGCUGCAUUAGCUAGUUGGUAAGGUAACGGCUUACCAAGGCAACGAUGCAUAGCCGACCUGAGAGGGUGAUCGGCCACACUGGAACUGAGACACGGUCCAGACUCCUACGGGAGGCAGCAGUAGGGAAUCUUCCGCAAUGGGCGAAAGCCUGACGGAGCAACGCCGCGUGAGUGAUGAAGGUCUUCGGAUCGUAAAACUCUGUUAUUAGGGAAGAACAUAUGUGUAAGUAACUGUGCACAUCUUGACGGUACCUAAUCAGAAAGCCACGGCUAACUACGUGCCAGCAGCCGCGGUAAUACGUAGGUGGCAAGCGUUAUCCGGAACUAUUGGGCGUAAAGCGCGCGUAGGCGGUUUUUUAAGUCUGAUGUGAAAGCCUACGGCUCAACCGUGGAGGGUCAUUGGAAACUGGAAAACUUGAGUGCAGAAGAGGAAAGUGGAAUUCCAUGUGUAGCGGUGAAAUGCGCAGAGAUAUGGAGGAACACCAGUGGCGAAGGCGACUUUCUGGUCUGUAACUGACGCUGAUGUGCGAAAGCGUGGGGAUCAAACAGGAUUAGAUACCCUGGUAGUCCACGCCGUAAACGAUGAGUGCUAAGUGUUAGGGGGUUUCCGCCCCUUAGUGCUGCAGCUAACGCAUUAAGCACUCCGCCUGGGGAGUACGACCGCAAGGUUGAAGCUCAAAGGAAUUGACGGGGACCCGCACAAGCGGUGGAGCAUGUGGUUUAAUUCGAAGCAACGCGAAGAACCUUACCAAAUCUUGACAUCCUUUGACAACUCUAGAGAUAGAGCCUUCCCCUUCGGGGGACAAAGUGACAGGUGGUGCAUGGUUGUCGUCAGCUCGUGUCGUGAGAUGUUGGGUUAAGUCCCGCAACGAGCGCAACCCUUAAGCUUAGUUGCCAUCAUUAAGUUGGGCACUCUAAGUUGACUGCCGGUGACAAACCGGAGGAAGGUGGGGAUGACGUCAAAUCAUCAUGCCCCUUAUGAUUUGGGCUACACACGUGCUACAAUGGACAAUACAAAGGGCAGCGAAACCGCGAGGUCAAGCAAAUCCCAUAAAGUUGUUCUCAGUUCGGAUUGUAGUCUGCAACUCGACUACAUGAAGCUGGAAUCGCUAGUAAUCGUAGAUCAGCAUGCUACGGUGAAUACGUUCCCGGGUCU
rnacentral:rRNA from 1 species